AACAGGGAUUGCCCCAGUAACGGCGAGUGAAGCGGCAGCAGCCCAGAUUUGAAAUCCGGCUUCGGCCCGAGUUGUAAUCUGCAGAGGAUGCUUCGGGGCGGGCGUCCCUCCGAGUCCCCUGGAACGGGGCGCCAGAGAGGGUGACAGCCCCGUACGGCCGGACGUGCCGCCCCGCGCGAAGCUCCCUCGAAGAGUCGAGUAGUUUGGGAAUGCUGCUCAAAGCGGGAGGUAAAUUCCUUCCAAGGCUAAAUACCGGCCGGAGACCGAUAGCGCACAAGUAGAGUGAUCGAAAGAUGAAAAGCACUUUGGAAAGAGGGUUAAACAGUACGUGAAAUUGCUGAGAGGGAAGCGCCUGCGGCCAGACUCGCGCCCUGCGGAUCAUCGGGUGCCUCGCGGCGCCCGUGCACUCCGCCGGGACGCGGGCCAGCAUCGGCUCGCGGCGGGGGACAAAAGCGGGGGGAACGUGGCCUCCCCCGGGAGGUGUUAUAGCCCCCCGCCCAAUGCCCCGCGGCGGGCCGAGGACCGCGCCGCUCCGGCGGCAAGGAUGCUGGCGUAAUGGCCGUCGGCGGCCCGUCUUGAAACACGGACCAAGGAGUCGAACGUCCGCGCGAGUGUUUGGGUGACCAAAGCCCUCACGCGCAGUGAAAGCGAACGCAGGUGGGAGCCUCGGCGCACCACCGACCGAUCCUGAAGUUCACGGAUGGAUUUGAGUAGGAGCGUGGCCGUUCGGACCCGAAAGAUGGUGAACUAAGCCUGCGUAGGGCGAAGCCAGAGGAAACUCUGGUGGAGGCCCGCAGCGGUUCUGACGUGCAAAUCGAUCGUCAAACGUGGGCUUGGGGGCGAAAGACCAAUCGAACCGUCUAGUAGCUGGUUUCCGCCGAAGUUUCCCUCAGGAUAGCAGUGCUGGUCUCAGUUUUAUGAGGUAAAGCGAAUGAUUAGGGGCUCGGGGGCGCUGAUUAGCCUUCACCCAUUCUCAAACUUUGAAUAUGUAAGAAGCCCUUGUCGCCUAGGCGGACGCG
rnacentral:rRNA from 1 species